rnacentral:rRNA from 1 species
GACGUAGGGGGCAAGCGUUGUUCGGAAUUAUUGGGCGUAAAGCGCUCGUAGGCGGGACAGGAAGUUCGUGUUGAAAGACCUCGGCUCAACUGAGGGACCGGCUCGAAUACUCUUGUUCUUGAGGCAAUCAGAGGGUGAUGGAAUUCCUGGUGUAGCGGUGGAAUGCGCAGAUAUCAGGAGGAACACCGGUGGCGAAGGCGGGUCUCUGGGCAGUAACUGACGCUGAGGAGCGAAAGCGUGGGGAGCGAACAGG